rnacentral:pre_miRNA from 1 species
CAUGUACCGGUGGGGUCCCUCAGCCUGGCCUGCGCCCUCUCGCAAUCUGGGACCCCUCGGGGGAUGUCUGCUUUUGGCCCGAUCCCGCAGGCCAGGCUGAGGGACCCCACUGGUGCAUG